AACGAACGCUGGCGGCAGGCCUAACACAUGCAAGUCGAGCGGGACCUUCGGGUCUAGCGGCGGACGGGUUAGUAACGCGUGGGAACGUGCCCAAAGGUACGGAAUAGCCUCGGGAAACUGAGAGUAAUACCGUAUGUGCCCCUCGGGGGAAAGAUUUAUCGCCUUUGGAUCGGCCCGCGUUGGAUUAGGUAGUUGGUGGGGUAAUGGCCUACCAAGCCGACGAUCCAUAGCUGGUUUGAGAGGAUGAUCAGCAACACUGGGACUGAGACACGGCCCAGACUCCUACGGGAGGCAGCAGUGGGGAAUCUUAGACAAUGGGGAAACCCUGAUCUAGCCAUGCCGCGUGAGCGAUGAAGGCCUUAGGGUUGUAAAGCUCUUUCAGAUGGGAAGAUAAUGACGGUACCAUCAGAAGAAGCCCCGGCUAACUCCGUGCCAGCAGCCCGCGGUAAAAAGUACUCUAU
rnacentral:rRNA from 1 species